rfam:Mycobacterium tuberculosis H37Rv complete genome.
AAGAGCCAGAUACGGUGAAAGUCGCACGUCCGGUUCGAAGGGCGGCCACGGGAAACGGACCCGCAGCAACGCGGGCACCGCACCCAUGGUCGACCCAAC